rnacentral:rRNA from 1 species
UACGUAGGUGGCAAGCGUUGUCCGGAAUUACUGGGUGUAAAGCGCGUGUAGGCGGGAGGCCAAGUCUGCUGUGAAAUCGCCCGGCUCAACUGGGCGGGUCGGUGGAACUGGUCACCUGGAGGACGGUAGAGGCGAGUGGAAUUCCCGGUGUAGUGGUGAAAUGCGUAGAGAUCGAGAAGAACACCGGUGGCGAAGGCGGCCAACUGGACGGUGACUGACACUGAGACGCGAAAGCGUGGGAGCAAACAGG